GGGAAACUGCCCCCAUGAUUCAGUUACCUCCACCUCGCCUCUCCCUUGACUUGUGGGAAUUACAAGGAUUAUACUUCAAGAUGAGAUUUGGCUGGGGACACAAAGCCUGAGCAUAUCACUAUCGCUCUCAGUCUUGUCCGACUGGCCUCGUGUAGGAGAAGGCUCUCACCUAUCUGUCUGACCAGAGAUUUUAAGAAGAUGGAGCCUCCAUCAGCCUGGGCCUGGAAUGAGAAGCAGAACCCCCUGGCUGCUAAUGUAGUCCAGGAAAGAGAAAUGAACAGAAUCCCUCUGAUAACCCACAUUAAACAUUGCAGCUUGAGCAAGAAAUAAACAUGAUUUGUGGCCAGGCACAGUGGCUCACAUCUGUAAUCCCAGCAUUUUGAGAGGAUCACUUCAGUGCAAGUUCAAGACCAACCUGGGCCAUCAAACUCCAAAUGGUCGUGCAACCGGAGCCUCGGAAGAUGGCGCCUUCUGCCG
ensembl:lncRNA novel transcript